GUGCCAGCAGCCGCGGUAAUACGGAGGGUGCAAGCGUUGUCCGGAUUUAUUGGGUUUAAAGGGUGCGUAGGCGGCCUUUUAAGUCAGUGGUGAAAUCCUCCAGCUUAACUGGAGAACUGCCAUUGAUACUGAGAGGCUUGAGUACAGACGAGGUAGGCGGAAUUGACAGUGUAGCGGUGAAAUGCAUAGAUAUUGUCAAGAACACCGAUUGCGAAGGCAGCUUACUAGGCUGUAACUGACGCUGAGGCACGAAAGUGCGGGGAUCAAACAGGAUUAGAAACCCGUGUAGUCC
rnacentral:rRNA from 1 species